UGGGGAAUCUUCCGCAAUGGACGAAAGUCUGACGGAGCAACGCCGCGUGAGUGAAGAAGGUUUUCGGAUCGUAAAACUCUGUCUUUUGGGGCGAACGUGAGUAUGGUGAACAAUCAUAGUCAGUGACGGUACCAAAGGAGGAAGCCACGGCUAACUACGUGCCAGCAGCCGCAGUAAUACGUAGGUGGCAAGCGUUGUCCGGAAUUAUUGGGCGUAAAGAGCGCGUAGGCGGGAUAGUCAGUCUGUUGUAAAGUGCGGGGCUCAACCCCGUGAUGGCAAUGGAAACAGCUAUUCUUGAGUGCAGGAGAGGAAAGUGGAAUUCCCAGUGUAGCGGUGAAAUGCGUAGAUAUUGGGAGGAACACCAGUGGCGAAGGCGACUUUCUGGACUGUGUCUGACGCUGAGGCGCGAAAGCCAGGGGGAGCGAACGGGAUUAAAAUUACCCCGGUAGUCCUGGCCGUAAACGAUGAGUACUAGGUGUAGGAGGUAUCGACCCCUUCUGUGCCGCAGUUAACACAAUAAGUACUCCGCCUGGGGAAGUACGAUCGCAAGAUUAAAACUCAAAGGAAUUGACGGGGUCAUAGCUGUUUCCUG
rnacentral:rRNA from 1 species